rnacentral:rRNA from 1 species
AUUGAACGCUGGCGGAAUGCUUUACACAUGCAAGUCGAACGGCAGCACGGACUUCGGUCUGGUGGCGAGUGGUGAACGGGUGAGUAAUGUAUCGGAACGUGCCCAGUCGUGGGGGAUAACGUAGUGAAAAUUACGCUAAUACCGCAUACGAUCUAUGGAUGAAAGCGGGGGAUCGCAAGACCUCGCGCGAGUGGAGCGGCCGAUAUCAGAUUAGGUAGUUGGUGGGGUAAAGGCCCACCAAGCCAACGAUCUGUAGCUGGUCUGAGAGGACGACCAGCCACACUGGAGCUGAGACACGGUCCAGACUCCUACGGGAGGCAGCAGUGGGGAAUUUUGGACAAUGGGCGAAAGCCUGAUCCAGCCAUUCCGCGUGCAGGAUGAAGGCCCUCGGGUUGUAAACUGCUUUUGUACAGAACGAAAAGGUUUCUACUAAUACUAGGAGCUCAUGACGGUACUGUAAGAAUAAGCACCGGCUAACUACGUGCCAGCCGCCGCGGUAA